rnacentral:sRNA from 1 species
CGGCGCUCGGAGCCCGACGCCUCGCGAGGGCGCCCGCGGAGCCUCCCCGGCCCUGGGCGUUGGGCGAGCCCCGGGGCGGUCGGAGGGGCCCAGGGGCGGUCGGAGAAGCCCGGACGCCGGCCGUACGAAUACAGUUAUGGCCACCCAGGUAAUGGGGCAGUCUUCUGGAGGAGGAGGGCUGUUUACCAGCAGUGGCAACAUUGGAAUGGCCCUGCCUAACGACAUGUAUGACUUGCAUGACCUUUCCAAAGCUGAACUGGCCGCACCUCAGCUUAUUAUGCUGGCAAAUGUGGCCUUAACUGGUGAAGUAAAUGGCAGCUGCUGUGAUUACCUGGUCGGUGAAGAAAGACAGAUGGCAGAAUUGAUGCCUGUUGGGGAUAACAACUUUUCAGAUAGUGAAGAAGGAGAAGGACUUGAAGAGUCUGCUGAAAUAAAAGGUGAACCUCAUGGACUGGAAAACAUGGAACUGAGAAGUUUGGAACUCAGCGUGGUAGAACCUCAGCCUGUAUUUGA